UGGCUCAGAACGAACGCUGGCGGCAUGCCUAACACAUGCAAGUCGAACGAACCCUUCGGGGGUUAGUGGCGCACGGGUGCGUAACGCGUGGGAAUCUGCCCUUGGGUUCGGAAUAACAGUUAGAAAUGACUGCUAAUACCGGAUGAUGUCUUCGGACCAAAGAUUUAUCGCCCAGGGAUGAGCCCGCGUAGGAUUAGGUAGUUGGUGGGGUAAAGGCCUACCAAGCCGACGAUCCUUAGCUGGUCUGAGAGGAUGAUCAGCCACACUGGGACUGAGACACGGCCCAGACUCCUACGGGAGGCAGCAGUGGGGAAUAUUGGACAAUGGGCGCAAGCCUGAUCCAGCAAUGCCGCGUGAGUGAUGAAGGCCUUCGGUCGUAAGGCUCUUUUACCCGGGAUGAUAAUGACAGUACCGGGAGAAUAAGCUCCGGCUAACUCCGUG
rnacentral:rRNA from 1 species